CCCGUACGUCUCCAGUGAGUCCGUGGUCACCGAGAUAUCUGAAGAGGGAUGAGCUGGAACCAUCUUCAAGAUGGACUGUCCUAUAAUAAAGAAACUAGUAAUAGAACAUCAGGGCUGCUUGUGCCUGGAGGGAUCAGUGCAGCGAGCCGGAUGGCACAUCUUUGCCUGGAUGCACGUUAGGGGACAUAAGGCUGUAACAGCACCACAGACAUGAUCCAUGGCUCCCAUUGACUCUGAUCAGACUGCGCUUGAGGGGUGUCACAUUCGUGGAAGCCAUCUAACGUUCAGUUCAUGCACAUAAGCAAACUCGAGUUCCUGCUGACAUUACACAUGCCCUGGGCCAGAAGAGAGAAAGUGGAAUGCGGAAGGAGCAGGCAUGCUGACCUGGCGAUGGUGCUCUGUGGAGGAACUCGGGGCUAGGGCUUUGGAGCUUCAAGUCAUCCUGAUACUUCAAGCAGACGUUAGCAAUGCACCGUCGGCAGCACAAAGUGCUAGUAGAAAAGAUGGACACAGCCUCUGGCCCCAGCACCUCCCCUAAAAACAGAUAGUGCAGCAAGAGGCCACGUAAGAAACCAGACGAAAACAACACAUCGAACCAGGGCCUUGUGGGUACAAAGCAAGAAAUUAAGAAUGCAGAAUAAAAAUCUUAAGACUGGAGUGGCUAUUUCAGCUUCAAGUAUGACUUCCUGAAGAGACUCCUGGGAACAUCAUGCCUUGCAUUACAGCUACUGAUCUCAACUAUUAAAGAGGGUGCAGUCAUGUUUCUGUCA